rnacentral:rRNA from 1 species
UACGAACUGUGCAAACGUUAUUCGGAAUCACUGGGCUUAAAGGGUGCGUAGGCGGCCAUUUAAGUAGGGUGUGAAAGCCUGGGGCUCAACUCCAGAGUUGCGUCCUAAACUGGAUGGCUCGAGUGAGGUAGGGGUGUGUGGAACUUCCGGUGGAGCGGUGAAAUGUGUUGAUAUCGGAAGGAACGCCGGUGGCGAAAGCGACACACUGGGUCUCAACUGACGCUGAGGCACGAAAGCCAGGGUAGCGAACGGG